rnacentral:rRNA from 1 species
GACGAACGCUGGCGGCGUGCCUAAUACAUGCAAGUCGAACGCAGUGGGGACGGGUGAGUAACACGUGGGUAACCUCCCAUCAGAGGGGAUAAAACUUGGAAACAGGUGCUAAACCGAUACUGAUGGAUGGCCCCGCGGUGCAUGAGCUAGUUGGUGAGGUAACGGCUCACCAAGGCCACGAGGCAUAGCCGCCCGUAUAGGGUGAUCGGCCACACGGGGACUGAGACGCGGCCCAGACUCCUACGGGAGGCAGCAGUAGGGAAUCGUCGGCAAGGGACGAAAGUCUGACCGAGCAACGCCGCGUGAGUGAAGAAGGUUUUCGGAUCGUAAAACGCUGUUGUUAGAGAAUCGGUAUCUAACCAGAAAGCCACGGCUAACUACGUGCCAGCAGCCGCGGUAAUUC